rnacentral:misc_RNA from 1 species
GGGGUGAAUCAUCGAAUCUUUGAACGCACAUUGCGCCUAUUAGUAUUCUAGUAGGCAUGCCUGUUCGAGCGUCAUUUCAACCCUCAAGCCCUAGUUGCUUGGUGUUGGGAGCUUGCCGUGAAACGCAACUCCCCAAAGCCAGCUGGCAGAGUUAGGAUAUGCUCUAAGCGUAGUAAACUUUACAAGUCUCGCUUCUGAAGCUGUCCUGGCCUUCUCGCCAUAAAAGCCCCAAUUCUUUCUAUGGUUGACCUCGGAUCAGGUAGGAAUACCCGCUGAACUUAAGCAUAUCAAUAAGCGGAG